GUGUUCACCUUGGCGGCACGUAUACUAAAAUUGGAACGAAACAGAGAGGAUUAAGAUGGCCCCCGUGCAAGAAU
ensembl:snRNA U6 U6 spliceosomal RNA